CCAGGCUGCCAUUGCACACAUUGCUUGUGUUUCCUUACUCUAUUCAAGGUAAGGAAUCAGCAAAUUUCAAAUCCAUCAUUCUGCAAAAGUUAAGUCUUUCCUUAUUCUUAGACCAUUAACCAGGCUAAAUGCUAUUCCCAGUCUUCAUUGUCCAACGCAAAGGAAGAGAGAGGGCCAUGAUUCAUCCACAGAUGCAGGAAGCAAUAAUGAAGACUUUUGUUCAAAGAUUGAGCUGAGUCAUAUGCUCAUCCAUAUUUAUGAUGACGGAAGAUAAAACUUAUAUUUAUAAGUGAGGUCAGACAUGCAUGUUUGGAGAGCACACACAGAGAUUAUCCUAGGUAUUGAAGAAAUUAUUGAGCAUAUUAUAAACCUGAGGCCUAUGAAUGUUAAAAAAAAAAUGUCUGCAGUCCUUUACAGAGAUCUUAAAAUUCUUAUCCUUUAAGCAUGAUAAACAUGGGAACAUGAACAGAAUUAUAUUUCUCUAGAAGCUUUCAUUGGCAGAAUACUGAGAUACCACUCUGUACAUACAUGGUACUGUUACAGAUCCCACACACAGAAAUUACUGGCUAAAGCCAGAUAUUUCAUGCACAGAAAAGCCUUGAAAAGACAAAACAGGUGAAACAAUUAUGUUAAAUUCUUUGCACCAUUUUAUACUGUCAACAGUGAAUAUAGAGAGCUUUUUUUGAUUCACAGGAGUUGCUUCCUUCCCCUUCACUUUCUACUUCUGAUUGAUAAGGUGCUUCUUACAUUUUGGGGUUCUAGAAUACAUUGCCAGCCCUCUGUGGUAUUUUAGUCAGAUACUGCAGCAAAUCAGUUUGAUCUGUCAUACAUUGGUCUUUAACUUUUCCUCUGAAGAUAGGGAUGUUUCAUGACAGUGUUGCAUGAGUAAUUUUUAGAAGUCUUUUAAAGAGCAUUAUUAUAGCUUAUAAUGCUCUUAUAAUUUAUCUGAACACAUUUCUGUACUAUGAAAUGUUGUUUCAGCGACUAUUCACAUGAAUCUUUGACCUUCAUUGGAAUUUAUCUCUGAGUGUGUUUAAGAAUAUGAAUCACAAACAAGUUUUACUAAAUACAGCAGCUCUCAACUAAAAUAUAUAGUUAGUUGCACACAGUAUGAUAUGGAAGUAACCGACAAGUUAAAAAUAUUUAGUAAAUGACUAAGAUCUAAUGUAGGAACAUACUUUACUUAUUUUAGGAGGAGUUCUAUAAAUGCCUUUUUCUUGAAGAAAAAUGGCUGCAAAUGUGGAAGCCACUACUGUAUUUUCCUGUAUGAAGAUGUGUGCCAAGUGUUAAAGGCAGGCAGAUAACUUCACCCUGAGAAUUCAGGGUUUCCAGUAUCUCUAGGAUUUCAUCUGUCAUUGGUGUAAAAAAACCACCAAAGUUUUUGAAAUGUUUUCUGAUUAUGAAGAAUAGCUUGAAGGUAGAAUCAUGUUCUGAUACAUCUUGGUGUUGGCAACAGAAAAUAAGCAGAAUUACAUAACUUCACUUGCUGUGCUGCUGGCAUACUGCAAUGUGUCCGUAGCUUUCUAAUACAGUCAUUUAUAUUUCUUCCCCUGCUUGUGCCUGUUUUUCUCUGCUCAUUUGCAAAACAUUUUCUAUUUCAUGAACCACUGAAGGACUCAGGGACAAGGAGCCUGUGCUUUUGUUCAUAAUGUAGCAUUGCCAUUCAGCAAUGAGAGCUGUUAUUUAUUCUGAAAUUGUUGCCUGGUCUUUACUCACCCUACUUGAACUAAUUUCCAUGCAAGCCACUAAGAGAGCUGAGUAGAAACUAAGCAAGAAGCUCUCAGCCAUAAAGGUUUGAAAAGAGCAUACGAUAUUUAUUCUUAGCUUUAGCACUUCAGAAUAUAUCAUCAAGAAGCUUUUUGUCUGUGUGGGGGCAGGCAUGGACUAGUGAGUUGGAAAGACUUCACCCAGAGACUCAGGGCUAUGACUUUAACAACUGGAAUUAAUGUCUUCAGCAACGUUUGAGUUUUCAGACUUCUUUUAAACUCCUUCUAGAGGUUUAACAAAGGGUUUUUUUUAUUAUACCUGCAUUUUUGGAAUAUUGCUUAGAGCUUGUUCAGGUAUAAGCCUUUUAUGCAUAUGUAAUGAAUAUGUAUAAUAUAUAAAUAGUAUCACUCUUGCCUUUUACAAAUACAUAAAAGCAGCACAAAAUAGUAGAUUUUAUUGUCUAUAGCAUGCUGUAUAUUUUUCACCUUAUCUUUUCCAGGAUUUAUGUGAUAUAAUCUUUUUACUACAUGCAAAAUGAGAUUACUUUUAGGCAGCAGUCUGAAAAAAAAUUAAACUUCCACAUCAGGCACAAUUGAGAAUGCAUUCCUGAAAUCAGCCUGGCCCACUGAAGAACUGGCCAUACGUUACAGACUUGAACUGACAUCUAACAGAUCCUCAGAAGGUAUUCAGCAGUGGAAUGUGUCAGAAUAGAGAAUGUAAUUUCUCAGUUGUGCUGCUACUUUUCCUAUGCUGCCAGGAAAUAUGCUCCAGGUUCCACGCAAAGUUCUCUGUUCUCCCAGACUGACCUUCCUGACUGGCUUGUCGUUCUGCGCGUGGGAAAGGCCCGAUCCUGGGCCUGUGAGAUGUCCCUCUCGAAAGGGACAUCUGUCCUUCCUGGACUCCUUUGCCCUUCAGGAAUAUCUCCCAAAGGAUUCUGUCAGCCAGCGUCCUAAAUGGACCAAAGUCUGUUCCCUGGCAGUCCAAGGCUGCUGAGUCCCUUCUCCAAAGAUCAAAAGCUGUAUCAUUCCAUGCCCAGCGUGUCCUCAAACCACCACAUGUCCCUCCAGCCCUUUUCUGCUGACAAACAGCAGGUCCAGUGGGCACCUUGCCUGGUUGGUUCCCUCACCCUCUGUGUCAGGCAGUUCUCUUCCAUAUGCUCCAUAAACCUUCUAGACUCCUCAACUCUGCCAUCUUGUAUUUCCAGCAGACACCUGGUAAGUUGAAAUCUCCCAUGAGAUCAAGGCCUAGAGGUUCCAGCUGCUUAAAGAAAAUUUCAUCUUCCUCUUUGUCCUGUCUGGGUGGUCUGUAAGAGACUCCCACCAUGAUGCUUGCCUUGCUAGACUUGCCUGAUUCUUCCCCAUAUGUGUUCAACCCUAUCGUCACCAUCAAUAAACUCUCAAAGUUGCACCAUUAAUGUGUAAAGGGAAAGUAUUUUAUAUUUUAAAAUAAUAAAUAGAUUAUAAAUAUUUUAUUACAGAUAGCAGAAAAAUAUUUGUAAUGAAUUAAAAAAAUAAAUUGUCUGUAAUAUGGGUAAAUAUAACUGUCAAUUUAGGUGGAGUAUUUUUUUAGAAUUUUAUUAUUUUUUAAACCUCAAGGAAAGCUGCACACACACAUCCCUAAAUAUUGCCUGUUUUAAUUUGAAUUGUAAAAGGGGUGGGGAUCACAGAAACAAUACUCCCAAAUGAAGGUUAGCCACAAAGACUGUUAAUCUUAAGACUAUGGCUUAAUAAACCAUAAAGAUUUUGCUAAAUGUGAUUUCUUAGAAUAUUUUGCAUGCUUACUACUGUGUCAUGAAUUAAAAUUCAAAGACGUAUUUUAGAUCACAAUUACUUAGAAAUUAUCAGAAUGAAGUAACAGCUAAUAAAUGAUACGAUUUUCCCAACAAAUUACUGAUUUUGAAUUUUUAUAAUGAAAUAGAAUGUGCUUUAUAUGGUUUAUAUGAUGCUCAAAUAAGACUACACUUCUUACAGCAAAUAAGCUGUGCUAAAGCGGAA